UAUCUGACUAAAAGUCACCGUUAUCCUUUGAAGUCUCAAUGUAAAAUCAACGAGCUUUGGUUAUAGCAAAAAAGUGUAAACGGACUCAUAAAAGGUAAAAAUGUAGCACAAUAGUCACUGCUCUUGCUUGUCAUCGUUUCACACCAGUUCCUACUGUACCAGCUUAAGUGCUACUGUACUAUCCUAUAACAAUGACACAAUACUUUAUAAUAACUACACAGUUUUAAUCAUCAUCCCUUUUUAAAAUCAGACUUGUUUCUCUCCACUCUCAUAAAUUAUUUAAUUAUUCACUGCUCACUAAGAGUAAAUCAGCCUUUUAUGUUGAGGACAGCUGCAGCUGACUCUGUGUGUUUGCAUAUGUGUCCUGCCUCUCUGCUCACAGCUGUUAAGAGGCCAGUGUUGAUCAGUGGCUGUCCAGGCCUUUCAGAGCCACUCACACACCAGCAGCACAAUGAUGAUGUCACUGACUCUACUGCUGGCCACCCUGGGGCUCCUUGUUCAGGGUUCAUGGGGACAAAAAGUCCUGACUCAGUCUCCUGGAUCCCAGUCUGUUGUUCCAGGACAGACUGUCUCUGUCAGAUGUAAAGCCAGUUCAAGUGUCAGCACAUGCCUCCACUGGUACCUUCAAAAGGACGGAGAAUCUCCCAAACUCUUAAUUUAUUCUGCUACAAACCGUCAGUCUGGAGUUUCUGAUCGUUUCAGUGGAAGUGGAUCUGGGACUGACUACACUCUGACUAUCAGCAGAGUUCAGGCUGAAGAUGCAGGAGUUUAUUACUGUCAGCAGUGUAACAGCUUCCCGUUCACACAGUGAUACAACGUCAUACAAAAAC